CGUUCCCGGGCCUUGUACACACCGCCCGUCACAUCACGAAAGUGGAUUGUACUAGAAGUCCGUAAUCAAACAGGCCCAAGGUAUGAUUCAUGAUUGGGGUG
rnacentral:rRNA from 1 species